rnacentral:rRNA from 1 species
UAACACGUGGGUAACCUGCCUUAUAGUGGGGGAUAGCCUUUCGAAAGGAAGAUUAAUACCGCAUAAGAUUGUAGUAUCGCAUGAUAUAGCAAUUAAAGGAGCAAUUCGCUAUAAGAUGGACCCGCGUCGCAUUAGCUAGUUGGUGAGGUAAUGGCUCACCAAGGCGACGACGCGUAGCCGACCUGAGAGGGUGAUCGGCCACAUUGGGACUGAGACACGGCCCAGACUCCUACGGGAGGCAGCAUG